AUGGCAAACGGGGACGUGCAUGAAAUAAACGGGCGUGGUGCAAACACGGAGUUUAUCUCAUACAACACAUGCAUUCGGUCCACGGGCGUCGUUCUGGCGGUUAUACCUUCGAAGUGUUCAUUUUCGGAGCGGAUUGGGUUUGAUAGUAGCGGAAGUAGUGGUUCACGUUCGUUCGGAGAGGUACUUGAUGACUCCAACGUCUUCGGGGUGACGCGGUCAAUGGGGCUGGUUGCUGCGAGUCGUCUCCUUCACCAGGAGACAGAACGAAGGUGUGGCAGCAGGGCAAGCAGGGGGGAUGGCGCUGGUCGUCGUCGUUCGGCACACAGAAGCUGGGUAGGCCAGCGACGAGGGCUUGGGGAGGUCGAUCCGGUCGCCUCCGAGGCUUGGGCACGCCGGAGCUUUGAGCUGGAGGCGGCGGAUGGCAUCCAUGGCCAUGGCUGCUUCCGGAGCUUCGCCACAGGUGCUCAGACAAGGCAGGGCACGGGAGCUCGAGGUCGAUGGCGUCGGGCGCUGGCCAACACGCUCGCCAGGGACGCGUGCGGCAGGGAACUCCUGCCGGUUCGGUCGGCCGGCGACGAGGCUGACGAAGGAGGAGGGAGAGGGGAACGUGACGAGGGCGUGGUGCUGCUCGGCGGCUUGGACUCGCCGGCCAGGGCGGCAGCAGGGAGCUCCUGCUCCCACCGAAGACGACAACGGGAGACCUGCGUGACGAGGCGGCUUGAGAGAAACGGCGACGGGAGGAAGGGGGUGAGGCGGCGCGAGGCCAGGUGGAGAAGUGGGAUCGAUAGGAGGCUCUCGCUUCUCCAUCACUAUGUGUGCGGCGCAGGAGGAGGAUGA
rnacentral:rRNA from 1 species